AGAGUUUGAUCCUGGCUCAGGACGAACGCUGGCGGCGUGCUUAACACAUGCAAGUCGAACGAUGAAGCCUUGCUUGCAGGGUGGAUUAGUGGCGAACGGGUGAGUAACACGUGGGUGAUCUGCCCCGCACUUCGGGAUAAGCCUGGGAAACUGGGUCUAAUACCGGAUACGACCCCCUGGUAGGUCAGGGGGUGGAAAGAUUUAUCGGUGUGGGAUGAGCCUGCGGCCUAUCAGCUUGUUGGUGGGGUAAUGGCCUACCAAGGCGUCGACGGGUAGCCGGCCUGAGAGGGUGAUCGGCCACAUUGGGACUGAGACACGGCCCAGACUCCUACGGGAGGCAGCAGUGGGGAAUAUUGCACAAUGGGCGCAAGCCUGAUGCAGCGACGCCGCGUGGGGGAUGACGGCCUUCGGGUUGUAAACUCCUUUCGACAGGGACGAAGCUUAUGUGACGGUACCUGUAGAAGAAGCACCGGCUAACUACGUGCCAGCAGCCGCGGUAAUACGUAGGGUGCGAGCGUUGUCCGGAAUUACUGGGCGUAAAGAGCUCGUAGGUGGUUUGUCGCGUCGUCUGUGAAAUCCCGGGGCUUAACUUCGGGCGUGCAGGCGAUACGGGCAUAACUUGAGUGCUGUAGGGGAGACUGGAAUUCCUGGUGUAGCGGUGAAAUGCGCAGAUAUCAGGAGGAACACCAAUGGCGAAGGCAGGUCUCUGGGCAGUAACUGACGCUGAGGAGCGAAAGCAUGGGUAGCGAACAGGAUUAGAUACCCUGGUAGUCCAUGCCGUAAACGGUGGGCGCUAGGUGUAGGGGACUUCCACGUCUUCUGUGCCGCAGCUAACGCAUUAAGCGCCCCGCCUGGGGAGUACGGCCGCAAGGCUAAAACUCAAAUGAAUUGACGG
rnacentral:rRNA from 1 species